AUUGAACGCUGGCGGCAUGCCUUACACAUGCAAGUCGAACGGUAACGCGGGGCAACCUGGCGACGAGUGGCGAACGGGUGAGUAAUACAUCGGAACGUGCCCAGUAGUGGGGGAUAGCCCGGCGAAAGCCGGAUUAAUACCGCAUACGACCUACGGGUGAAAGCAGGGGAUCGCAAGACCUUGCGCCAUUGGAGCGGCCGAUGUCAGAUUAGGUUGUUGGUGGGGGUAAAGGCCUACCAAGCCGACGAUCUGUAGCUGGUCUGAGAGGACGACCAGCCACACUGGGACUGAGACACGGCCCAGACUCCUACGGGAGGCAGCAGUGGGGAAUUUUGGACAAUGGGCGCAAGCCUGAUCCAGCCAUGCCGCGUGCGGGAAGAAGGCCUUCGGUGUAACCGCUUUGUCAGGGAAGAAACGACUCCGGG
rnacentral:rRNA from 1 species